rnacentral:tRNA from 1 species
GGGGCAGUAGCUCAGCUGGGAGAGCGCCGCGUUCGCAAUGCGGAGGCCAGGGGUUCGAUCCCCCUCUGCUCCA